rnacentral:rRNA from 1 species
GGGGAAUAUUGGACAAUGGGCGCAAGCCUGAUCCAGCCAUGCCGCGUGAGUGACGAAGGUCUUCGGAUUGUAAAGCUCUUUUGGCGGGGACGAUAAUGACGGUACCCGCAGAAUAAGCCCCGGCUAACUUCGUGCCAGCAGCCGCGGUAAUACGAAGGGGGCUAGCGUUGUUCGGAAUCACUGGGCGUAAAGCGCACGUAGGCGGACUCAUAAGUCAGGGGUGAAAUCCCGGGGCUCAACCUCGGAACUGCCUUUGAUACUGUGAGUCUCGAGACCGGAAGAGGUGAGUGGAAUUCCUAGUGUAGAGGUGAAAUUCGUAGAUAUUAGGAAGAACACCAGUGGCGAAGGCGGCUCACUGGUCCGGUUCUGACGCUGAGGUGCGAAAGCGUGGGGAGCAAAC